rnacentral:rRNA from 1 species
AUUGAACGCUGGCGGCAGGCUUAACACAUGCAAGUCGAGCGGAGCGAGGGUGCUUGCACCUUAGCUUAGCGGCGGACGGGUGAGUAAUGCUUAGGAAUCUGCCUAUUAGUGGGGGACAACAUUCCGAAAGGGAUGCUAAUACCGCAUACGCCCUACGGGGGAAAGCAGGGGAUCUUCGGACCUUGCGCUAAUAGAUGAGCCUAAGUCGGAUUAGCUAGUUGGUGGGGUAAAGGCCUACCAAGGCGACGAUCUGUAGCGGGUCUGAGAGGAUGCUCCGGCAACCUGGGACUGAGACACGGCCCAGACUCCUCCGGGAGGCAGCAGUGGGGAAUAUUGGACAAUGGGCGGAAGCCUGAUCCAGCCAUGCCGCGUGUGUGAAGAAGGCCUUUUGGUUGUAAAGCACUUUAAGCGAGGAGGAGGCUACUAGUAUUAAUACUACUGGAUAGUGGACGUUACUCGCAGAAUAAGCACCGGCUAACUCUGUGCCAGCCGCCGCAGUAA